CUAGCCAGGGGCGUUGGCCGGCUGUGGAUCUGUCCAGACCCAGGCCGCCCUCCUACGCGGGCCUGCUGCAACCUGCGCUGGGGUUGAGGCAGGAACCAAGCUUGGGGCCAACCGACUGCGUGGGACGUGGCUCCCGGAUCUGCCCCUCACCAGCUGAGGACACCGGAGCGUCUCUCUCCAGGACUCAGUUUCCCCAUCUGUGAAGGGGAAGUAUGGAAACGGUCUCUGCAUAAAGAUACUCUGCUGCAUCAUUUAUAAAAAGAAAAAUUGAAAACAGCCUAAAAGCACAAUAGACGAUUCAAAUGAUCUAUGGUUCACAUACCUGUGAGGGUUUUAUAGAGAUGCUGAAACGCUGCUUAGAAGAGAGAAACACACAUGUCAACAACGUGAAGUGAAAAAAAAGAAACAAGAUUAAAAACUGUGUCUGCACGGGCUGUCCCCUUCUCCUCCAUUCCCGGAUAAGCCUUCACUCACCUCUGCACCUCACCAGCAUCCACUCAGAGAGACCCAGCCCCUCAAACCCAGCCAGCAGGGACCACGCUGCACAUUAAGUUUGCUCAACUGCUCCAGAGCGUGGCCUUGAGGAUGUUCCUUCACCUCUCUGAGCUUCAGGCUCCUCACCUGUACAAUGAAGACAGCACCUGCCUCAUGGAUUUGCUAAUAUAUGCAAAAUGCAUAGCUUGCUGCCUGGAAGAUAAUAAGUACCCAAAUGUUAGCUGUUUUUAUUUUUCGCUCAAUUUUCUACAUAUAAACAUGUCAUUGUGCUCCGUGCUGGGGAUAUGGCAGUGACAGCUAAACUCCAGAAGAGAAAGAUUAAACCAACACUCACAGACGAUUAAUCCGCUGCCGUGAGGACCAAUGAUGUAUUCAUUACAGUUAGGGAUGCUGUGGUGGGGGGCACGUUGAGAGCAUUUAUCA
rnacentral:lncRNA from 1 species